CGCCGCCGCCACUGCGGAUCUGCCGUCGUCGCGGGUCCGCCUCAGCCGCCGUCGCCGAGAACCUCCCCCAGCCUCCGACACCGAUUUCCGACAGAUCCUCAAGGCUGCGAUUUUAGUGAUGGAUUUGGGGGCUGUCACCGUCGACUCCGGACUGCCGAAGAGCACAGAAUCGUACUCACGAGAUAAGUUUUCCAACUAAGUGAUUAUUAUUAGUUGUAGGACUUAAUUGUCUAUUUUAUAAAUUUGGUGAAUUUUGAACAAUCGUGUCUACCGAGAAGACUUAAUGGUGAAACAAGUUAAUCUUGGUGUUUAUUGUUAACAUUUGGGCAGAUUCUUCUUCCAACUACAUAUAUGCAUGCUUGUACAUAGAUGAAAGAAAAGAAAGGCUUGGUGUUUACCUUUUGAUGUGGAAGUUAAGUGUUGUUGGAUGGUAGUGUUUCACUCUACGAAUUGUGUGAAAUUCUCCUUCCUCAAACUCCUAUAUCCAUGUUGGCUUUGUGUGUGCAGACAACUUAGGAUUACUUAGGAUUUGAGGGUGAUGUGUGUGUGAGGUAAAGAAAAAUGAUUGUAUACAAUACAUAAAAGGUGGCAUUGAAAGUGACGUGUAGCAAGUUGGUGUAGCAAGUUGCAUGGUAUUCUUAUCUCUAA